rnacentral:rRNA from 1 species
CAAGAGGGAAGUUUUUUAAAAGCAACAGGAAGAAUUGCUCAGAUACCCGUGAGCGUAUAUAACUUGGGUCGUGUUAUAAAUGCUCUGGCUAAACCUAUUGAUGGAAGAGGCGAAAUUGUAGCUUUCGAAUCUCGCUUAAUUGAAUCUCCUGCUCCAAGUAGAAUUUCCUGGCAUUCCAUAUACAAACCUCUUCAAACAGGGCUUACUGCUAUCAACUCGAUGAUCCCUAUAGGGCGCGGUCAGCAAGAGUUCAUUAUUGGGGACAGACAGACUUGCAAAACAGCAGUAGCCACAGAUACAAUUCUCAAGAAAAAAGGGCAAGGUGUAAUAUGUGUUUAUGUAGCUAUCGGUCAAAGAGCAUCCUCCAUAGCUCAAGUAGUAACUACUUUCCAUGAGGAGGGGGCCAUGGAAUACACUAUUGUAGUAGCUGAAAUGGCAUAUUCACCUGCUACAUUACAAUACCUCGCUCCUUAUACGGGAGCAGCCCUGGCUGAGUAUUUUAUGUACCGCGAAUGUCAUACUGUAAUAAUUUAUGAUGAUCUCUCCAAACAGGCACAAACUUAUCGCCAAAUGUCCCUUCUAUUAACAAGACCUCCCGGCCGUGAGGCUCAUCCUGGGGAUGUUUUUUAUUUGCAUUCACGCCUUUUAGAAAGAGCCACGAAAUUAAAUUCUCUUUUAGGCGAAGGAAGUAUGACCGCUUUUCCAAUAGUUGAGACUCAAUCUGGAGACGUUUCCGCCUAUAUUCCUACUAAUGUAAUCUCCAUUACAGAUGGAUAAAUAUUAUUAUCUGCGGAUCUAUUCCAUGCUGGAAUUCGACCCGCUAUUAAUGUGGGUAUUUCUGUUUCUAGAGUAGGAUCCGCGGCUCAAAUUAAAGCCAUGAAACAAGUAGCUGGCAAAUCUAAAUUGGAACUAGCUCAAUUCACCGAGUGACAAGCCUAUUUCGCCUCUGCUCUCGAUAAAACAAGUCAGAAUCAAUUGGCAAGGGGUCGACGAUUAAGGGAAUUGCUUAAACAAUCCCAGGCAAAUCCUCUCCCAGUGGAAGAGCAGAUAGCUACUAUUUAUACCGGAACAAGAGGAUAUCUUGAUUCGUUAGAAAUUGAACAGGUAAAGAAAUAG